CCUCUCUCUUCCCACACAAACACCCAAUAGAUCCACUCCAUUUGCUUGGGAUUUAACCGGUGGAUUCGGAGCAUUUUCAUCACCCAAGAUGGGUAGGCUCUUAAAUGUUCACUAUUUGAACAAGGCGACUUUGAUGAAUGGAAAUGACGAUGAAGGGGGAGAGGCUAUGAUUUUUGACACAGGUCCAAGCUUUGAUGAUCUUAUAGUGAAAUUGAGAAGCGUCUUACAUUGGAAUGACCCAAUUGUCGAGGUUAAUCUUAUUAGGAGGUAUGACGUUGGAUUGGGAUUAAAGUCCCGAUUAAAGAGUAUGCCCAUCACCUCCCAAUUGCAUUGGGAUGUGUACAAGGAAAAAGUGGACGCAUCACAAGACACUUCACUUGAAAUAUUUGCCAUAAAGGUUGAUGCUCCUCCACUCCGAAUUGAUUUGAAUCGCAAUGUAUUCUCCCCAAUACAUGAUGUUAGUGUGGAGGUGUAUGUCCCCAAUUCUUCUAGCCAACCACCAAGUAGCCAACCACUAAUCAAAAAGGAUAUCAAUGCUAGAACCCUAGUACUUUGAGAUGAUGCUAUUCCUCAUGUUCAAGAAGAUGCUAGUGGUCAUAUUGAUGAUGAUGCUAUUGUUACUCAAGAGGAUGCUUAUGCGGAAGAUGAAGAGAUUUAUUACAAUCCCAUUGGUAACUUGGA